rnacentral:rRNA from 1 species
UACGUAGGGGGCUAGCGUUGUCCGGAAUCAUUGGGCGUAAAGCGCGCGUAGGCGGCCCGGUAAGUCCGCUGUGAAAGUCAAAGGCUCAACCUUUGAAUGUCAGCGGAUACUGCCAGGCUAGAGUCCGGAAGAGGCGAGUGGAACUCCUGGUGUAGCGGUGGAAUGCGCAGAUAUCAGGAAGAACACCAACGGCGAAGGCAGCUCGCUGGGACGGAACUGACGCUGAGACGCGAAAGCGUGGGGAGCAAACAGG